UACGGAGGGUGCAAGCGUUAUCCGGAUUCACUGGGUUUAAAGGGUGCGUAGGUGGGUUUGUAAGUCAGUGGUGAAAGCUCCGAGCUUAACUCGGAAACUGCCAUUGAUACUAUAGGUCUUGAAUUCGGUCGAGGUUGGCGGAAUGUGUCGUGUAGCGGUGAAAUGCUUAAAUAUGACACAGAACACCGAUUGCGAAGGCAGCUAGCUAGACCGACAUUGACGCUGAGGCACGAAAGCGUGGGGAUCAAACAGG
rnacentral:rRNA from 1 species